GAUGAACGCUGGCGGCGUGCCUAAUACAUGCAAGUCGAGCGAACAGACGAGGAGCUUGCUCCUCUGACGUUAGCGGCGGACGGGUGAGUAACACGUGGAUAACCUACCUAUAAGACUGGGAUAACUUCGGGAAACCGGAGCUGAUACCGGAUAAUAUAUUGAACCGCAUGGUUCAAUAGUGAAAGACGGUUUUGCUGUCACUUAUAGAUGGAUCCGCGCCGCAUUAGCUAGUUGGUAAGGUAACGGCUUACCAAGGCAACGAUGCGUAGCCGACCUGAGAGGGUGAUCGGCCACCCUGGAACUGAGACACGGUCCAGACUCCUACGGGAGGCAGCAGUAGGGAAUCUUCCGCAAUGGGCGAAAGCCUGACGGAGCAACGCCGCGUGAGUGAUGAAGGUCUUCGGAUCGUAAAACUCUGUUAUUAGGGAAGAACAAAUGUGUAAGUAACUAUGCACGUCUUGACGGUACCUAAUCAGAAAGCCACGGCUAACUACGUG
rnacentral:rRNA from 1 species